rnacentral:rRNA from 1 species
UACGGGGGGAGCAAGCGUUGUUCGGAUUUACUGGGCGUAAAGGGCGCGUAGGCGGUCAGCACAAGUCAGUUGUGAAAUCUCCGGGCUUAACUCGGAAACUGCCAUUGAUACUAUCAGUCUUGAAUACCGUGGAGGUCAGCGGAAUAUGUCAUGUAGCGGUGAAAUGCUUAGAUAUGACAUAGAACACCAAUUGCGAAGGCAGCUGGCUACACGAAUAUUGACACUGAUGCACGAAAGCGUGGGGAUCAAACAGG